UCCAACAAGCUGAUCCAUGUAUGAUUUG
rnacentral:sRNA from 1 species